CCUACGGGGGGCAGCAGUGGGGAAUAUUGGACAAUGGGGGCAACCCUGAUCCAGCCAUGCCGCGUGUGUGAAGAAGGCCCUAGGGUUGUAAAGCACUUUCAGUGAGGAAGAACGCCUGGUGGUUAAUACCCAUCAGGAAAGACAUCACUCACAGAAGAAGCACCGGCUAACUCCGUGCCAGCAGCCGCGGUAAUACGGAGGGUGCGAGCGUUAAUCGGAAUUACUGGGCGUAAAGCGCGCGUAGGUGGCUUGAUAAGCCGGUUGUGAAAGCCCCGGGCUCAACCUGGGAACGGCAUCCGGAACUGUCAAGCUAGAGUGCAGGAGAGGAAGGUAGAAUUCCCGGUGUAGCGGUGAAAUGCGUAGAGAUCGGGAGGAAUACCAGUGGCGAAGGCGGCCUUCUGGACUGACACUGACACUGAGGUGCGAAAGCGUGGGUAGCAAACAGGAUUAGAUACCCCUGUAGUC
rnacentral:rRNA from 1 species